CCUGAUCUUAAAAGCAUUGCAGACGUGGCUAUUGUGUCACAUGUACAUCAGUAGGUGGCAGAGAGGAGAGAGGCUGUGUCUACACUCAGUGUUCUGGCCUGUGAACAUAUGAACAGUUAGUAGCCUGACAUU